GAGGCCUCACAGUCACUCUGCGGUAUUUAAAGAUACCCCUCUUUCAUUUAUUUAAUUGAUCUUGAUAUAAAGGUACCUCUCAUCUAUUUAAUUGAUCUUUAUUUAAAGAUGCCUGUCAUCUAUUUAAUUAAUCUUUGUUUCAAUCAGAAUGACAUCUCAUGGGAAAGGGAGGGUUAGUUACAGCAAAUCCCCUAAUCCUUCUCAUGGAGACACACUUAUGGGAAUAGGAUAAUUGUGUUAACCAUUGUAUCAUAAUGUAGGAGGUAUAAUAGAAUGUAGGAGGUGUAAUAUAAUGUAGGAGGUAUAAUAGAAUGUAGGUGGUAUAAUAGAAUGUCGGAGGUAUAUCAGAAUGUAGAAGGUAUAAUAGAAUGUAGGUGGUAUAAUAGAAUGUAGGAGGUAUAUCAGAAUGUAGGAAGUAUAAUAGAAUGUGGGUGGUAUAAUAGAAUGUAGGAGGUAUAAUAUAAUGUAGGAGGUAUAUCAAAAUGUAGGAGGUAUAAUAGAAUGUAGGUGGAAUAAUAUAUUGUAGGAGGUAUAUCAGAAUGUAGGAGGUAUAAUAGAAUGUAGGAGGUAUGUCAGAAUAUAGGAGGUAUAAUAGAAUGUAGGAGGCAUAUCAGAAUGUAGGAGGUAUAUCAGAAUGUAGAAUGUAUAAUAGAAUGUAGAAAGUAUAAUAGAAUGUAGUAGGUAGUGUAAAGGGUCCUAUGUGUGGCUGGUGUAGAGAGUCAGGCGCAGGACAGCAGAUAUGAGUAAUCAACGUACUUUUACUUAUAAUGUCAAAUAUACAAAGUAACAAAUACACGCACACCAUGACAGACCGAAAAUACAAUAAACAAUCACUCACAAAAACCCAUGGGGGAACAGAGGGUUAAAUAAUGAAACAGUAAUUGUGGGAUUGAAAUCAGGUGUGUAAAACAAAGACAAAACAAAUGGAAAAUGAAAAGUGGAUCGGCGGUGGCUAGAAAGCCGGUGAUUUCGACCGCCAACCGCCGUCCGAACAACGAGAGGGACCGACUUGUGCAUUCAGAAAGUAUUCAGAACCUUUCCCUUUUCCACAUUUUGUUACGUUACUGUCACAAGUAUCUUCGUCUUCUGACGAUAAUGCGAAAUCGUCAUCAGAAAAGGUAGAUCAAUACGCAGCAGGUGUGCAGUUGUUCAUUUUGAACAUUUAAUUAAAUCAACACGAAUACAAAAACAACAAACAAGAAAACGAACGAUAAACUGACAGUCUGCAAAGCAUAGGCUCAACACAGA
rnacentral:lncRNA from 1 species